rnacentral:tRNA from 2 species
GCCGCCGUAGCUCAACCGGUAGAGCAGCGGUCCUGUAAACCGCAGGUUGCGGGUUCGACUCCUGUCAGCGGCUCCA